rnacentral:rRNA from 1 species
AUACGGAGGAUGCGAGCGUUAUCCGGAUUUAUUGGGUUUAAAGGGUGCGUAGGCUGUGCGUUAAGUCAGGAGUGAAAUGCCGUCGCUCAACGACGGAGCUGCCCUUGAUACUGGCGUGCUGGAGUACGGAUGCCGUUGGAGGAAUGAGUGGUGUAGCGGUGAAAUGCUUAGAUAUCACUCAGAACACCGAUUGCGAAGGCAUCUGACGAAUCCGUCACUGACGCUGAGGCACGAAAGCGUGGGGAUAGAACAGGAUUAGAUACCCUGGUAUUCCACGCCGUAAACGAUGAUGACUAACCGUCGGCGAUAGACAGCCGGUGGCCAAGCGAAAGCGAUAAGUCAUCCACCUGGGGAGUACGUCGGCAACGAUGAAACUCAAAUGAAUUGACGGGG